UACGGAGGGUGCGAGCGUUGUCCGGAAUCACUGGGCGUAAAGGGCGCGUAGGCGGCGCGGAAAGUCGUCGGUGAAAGCUCGGGGCUCAACCCUGAGUCUGCCGGUGAUACUCCCGCGCUCGAGCUCACUAGAGGCAGAUGGAAUUCCGGGUGUAGCGGUGGAAUGCGUAGAGAUCCGGAAGAACACCGGUGGCGAAGGCGGCAUCCUGGACCGAUACUGACGCUGAGGAGCGAAAGCCAGGGGAGCAAAGCGGG
rnacentral:rRNA from 1 species